GGGUCAGUAGGUUGGUCGUGCCACCGGUACGUACUGGUCUCACUGAUUCCUCCUUCCUGAAGAACCGUAAUGCCAUUAAUUUGGUGUUGCGGGGAAACAGGACUGUUACUUUGAAAAAAUUAGAGUGUUUAAAGCAAGCUAACGCUUGAAUACAUUAGCAUGGAAUAAUGAAAUAGGACGAUCGAUCCUAUUUUGUUGGCUUCUAGGAUUGAGGUA
rnacentral:rRNA from 1 species